GUCAUACCUCAACCAGUUUUUCACAUGCGGUGGUGACUCUGGGGUCCUUCUCCCAUCGGUGGAACUCCCUCAUGAUGACGUACACGUUCUUGUCCUUCAUAGUCCGCCGGCCAUCUUUCGUUGCCGUCAGCUACAAGGCAAUAUCGAUGUACUGAAGAUCCACAGGCAGACCUACACCACCAUGACAUCACCAUCACUUUUGUCAUCCUCAUUCUCAUCCAUGUGACCCAUCAGAGCUCGAACCUUCAUUGUCCUCCUCACUGAGUUCUUCUGGACCGGCCAACGGAAGCAGCAGGAAGGGCAGGAUGUCCACUUGAUCGCUUAGUAGCCACUCAUGAUUUGCUGCAGAAGAGUGAUCAUGUGGCAACUGAGAAAAUCGAGUUUCAUAGCAGAAUUUCACUCCCCCCAAAAUUAAAUGGCUUAAUGCGACUGAAGGGGAAAAACAAACACAGUUGGACUAACAGUUUGACUCUUGGCCACAGACCAAGAGAACGGGCAACGCACAUCCCUCGACACGUUGCAGUGGAAAGACUGCAUCCCUGUAUUGGGUUUUCAGGGUCCGCAUACAGUUCUAUCCUGUUUAGUAAUAUAUAUAACUGAAGCGCGGAAAACAAGGUCUAAUAAUCAUGAAUGAAGCAAAUGGCUACAAAGAAGAAUUGUUCUGAAUACAUAUUUAACAAAUAAAUGCAAAAUAUUAAAGUACCUUGACCACUGGAAGAAAAAAAAAAUCUUAAAUGAAACUUACCAUGAAAUUAAAUAAUUCAAAAUAGGGUGUAUAAGGGCAGAUACAAGCCAUACUUUGUUUUCUAGUCACAGAUACAUAGGAAAUUAUAAAUACAGUUAAGUAUUGUUGGAAAACACACAACAUGUAUACUGGCACUGUUCCGGUAUGUUUUGGGCAGUGGGUAUUGCUUAUUCUUAAAACCCAGAAAGCUCAUCUGGAUUUUUGACCAGCAAUUACAUUUGCCACCUUGGGAUUCUCAAAUGUAACAUAACCCGAACAAAAGUGACCCCAAACCAGACCCCAAAUGUUACCGAGCACGAAACCCUAACUACUCCUUCAUAAUAAAUUGAUUCAUCCAUU